rnacentral:rRNA from 1 species
UUGGCUUAGAAGCAGCCAUACAUUUAAAGAGUGCGUAAUAGCUCACUAGUCGAGAGAACCUGCGCCGAAAAUAAUCGGGGCUAAAACAUACCACCGAAGCUACGGAUUUGUUACAGAGGUAACAAGUGGUAGAGGAGCAUACUGCAAGGACGAAGCCAAAAACGAGAGUGAUGGUGGACGAAGCAGUAGAGAGAAUGCCGGAAUGAGUAGCGAGAUAUAUGUGAGAACCAUAUAGGCCGAAUAUCUAAGGAUUCCUGAGUAAAGCUAAUCUACUCAGGGUAAGUCGGGACCUAAGGCGAGGACGAGAGUCGUAGUCGAUGGACAACUGGUAGAGAUUCCAGUACUAUGAAUAAUCAGAACUGUGGGGACGCAGGAGGAUAGAUGGACCGCGGAAAGGGAAGACGCGGCCAAAUACAAAGUCAAGGUUGGGAGGCAAAACCACCAAUUGAUGAUGAAGUAUGACGGGGACUGAAAGAAAGUAAGGAAGUCAUCGAAUCCACACUGCCGAGAAAAGCCGCUAUAGCGUUAUUCAUACCCGUACCGUAAACCGACACAGGUAGAUGAGGAGAAAAUCCACAGGCCGACGGGAGAAGUGUUGUUAAGGAACUCGGCAAAAUGACCCCGUAACUUAGGGAGAAGGGGAGCCACGAGAGUGGUCACAGAAAAGAGGCUCAAGCAACUGUUUAGCAAAAACACAGGUCUCUGCGAAACCGAAAGGUGAAGUAUAGGGGCUGACACCUGCCCGGUGCUGGAAGGUUAAAAGGAGAGGUUAGCGCAAGCGAAGCUUUGAAUUCAAGCCCCAGUAAACGGCGGCCGUAACUAUAACGGUCCUAAGGUAGCGAAAUUCCUUGUCAGGUAAGUUCUGACCCGCACGAAAGGUGUAAUGAUUUGAGCACUGUCUCGACAACACGCCCGGUGAAAUUGAAGAACCAGUGAAGAUACUGGUUACCCGCAACAGGACGGAAAGACCCCAUGGAGCUUUACUGCAGCCUGAUACUGGGAUUCGAUGAUAUAUGUACAGGAUAGGAGGGAGACGAAGAAGGUAGGACGCCAGUCUUGCCGGAGUCGCCGGUGGGAUACCUCUCUUAUAUCAUUGGAUUUCUAACCUGCAUCCGUGAACCGGAUGAGGGACAAUGUCAGGCGGGCAGUUUGACUGGGGCGGUCGCCUCCAAAAGAGUAACGGAGGCGCUCGAAGGUCUUCUCAGAAUGAUUGGAAACCAUUCAAAGAGUGUAAAGGCAAAAGAAGGCUUGACUGCGAGGUCGACGGACCGAGCAGGUACGAAAGUAGGACUUAGUGAUCCGGUGGUAAUACGUGGGAAUGCCAUCGCUCAACGGAUAAAAGCUACCCUGGGGAUAACAGGCUGAUCUCCCCCAAGAGU